CGCGCAGCUCGCGAAGCGGCUGCGGCUCGCCGCGCGGCGGCUGCGCGGCGACGACGACGCGCGCGCCGGGUUCGAUGCCAGCCUGCGCGA
rnacentral:tRNA from 1 species